UACGAAGGGGGCUAGCGUUGUUCGGAAUUACUGGGCGUAAAGGGCGCGUAGGCGGUCCUUCAAGUCAGGCGUGAAAGCCCCGGGCUCAACCUGGGAACCGCGCUUGAGACUGGCGGGCUAGAGUUCGGGAGAGGAUGGUGGAAUUCCCAGUGUAGAGGUGAAAUUCGUAGAUAUUGGGAAGAACACCGAUGGCGAAGGCAGCCAUCUGGACCGACACUGACGCUGAGGUGCGAAAGCGUGGGGAGCAAACAGG
rnacentral:rRNA from 1 species